rnacentral:rRNA from 1 species
CCUACGGGUGGCAGCAGUGAGGAAUAUUGGUCAAUGGCCGGAAGGCUGAACCAGCCAAGUCGCGUGAGGGACGACUGCCCUAUGGGUUGUAAACCUCUUUUAUAAGGGAAGAAUAAAUGCUACGUUUAGCCGGACUGAGAGUACCUGAAGAAAAAGCAUCGUCUAACUCCGUGACAGCAGACGCGGUAAUACGGAGGAUGCGAGCUUUAUGCGGUUUUAUUGGGUUUAAGGGGUGCGUAGGCGGAAUGCCAAGUCAGCGGUAAAAUCGCGGGGCUCAACCUCGCGCCGCCGUUGAAACUGGCGGUCUUGAGUGGGCGAGAAGUAUGCGGAAUGCGUGGUGUAGCGGUGAAAUGCAUAGAUAUCACGCAGAACUCCGAUUGCGAAGGCAGCAUACCGGCGCCAAACUGACGCUGAAGCACGAAAGCGUGGGUAUCGAACAGGAUUAGAUACCCGAGUAGUC